CAUGGUGCUCUCCCCGCGGGGCUGCCCCGGCGCAACCGCCGGCGGCCCGAGCCCAGCUCCCCGCGACGCAGCGGCCUCCGGGACCUGUGGGACGCCGGGGCUUCGUGGCGCCUGGCGAGGCAGCCGCCCCCUGAGCCAGGUCCCCGCCCGCCUCUGUCCUGCCAGGCGCUGCUGGGUUUGGGAGGAAUGCGUUUACUCUCCAGGACCAACGAGUCUGUGCAGGCCUGGUUAAGAAAGAAAUGGGAAAGAUGGAAGAAUGGUGUGGAUAUGGAGAAGAGAAUGAUGCAGAAGAUGAACAGAUACAGGGACAGGGAAAGCGCCUGGAAAUCUCAAAUCUGGGGAAAGAAAGAGAAACAGCACUUUGUAAUGGCAUCCUAAUCUUGUUACCAAACAAACGGGGCUUGUUGCCCUAUACGCACAGAAGCCAAUAUUAUGGCGCUGAUUUUUUGAGAAAAGUUUUCAUUGUGAGUCAGCUAACAAGGAGACAGGAGUAUAGCUCUAAUCUGUCUCCCUGUGUUGGCUUUAAGACAGUAUUUUUAUUAGAAAACGUUUAGGGGGUGGAUUCUGGGAUUAGUAGGUGAUUGGUGGAAGGAAAGAAGCCAUCUGGAAAAUCCUCUGGCGUUCGCAGUUACCUCUUCAUGUCCCUUCAUGGGUCGCAUGUGCAAAUUUUGGAGGGAGUCAGUGUGAAACAUGGGGAAAGAUUCAAGCUGUGACGCCAGCAAGCUCAUUUUGUACAGACUCCAGGUAGCCAUCCGUGUUAGUACUAACCACUUUCAGCCAGUUUGCUUUGUUUUGUUUUGUUUUGUUUUUUAAUCUCACAAUGGAAGAAGUUUAGGCGUUUUAUUUAGCAAGUUGUUUUUUAUCUGCCGUCCUGCAUGCUCAAGAAUUUCUGUUAGUCCCUGGUUUCUUUAACUCUGAGACACGGUUUCACUCUUGUGAUUUUCUAUAUAUAGGUCUCUGGGAUUAAUCCAUUGCCUUUUUCUAAUUUAGGCCUGCAUGUAGAUAUUGGCUGUUAAGGAAAAUUAGUGUUUGUCACACCUCUCAUGAGAAUAAUUUUUUCCUUGUAGGCCGAUUUGUAAAUAGUGAAGGCAGUGCAGUUUCUUGUAGGUUUUGAUUUUAGAUGUGAAAUGUGUACAUUAAACCUUUCUUGCUGAGUUAGUCAAGUAAGCACUUUUUGUAAAAGAUGUUUUCAUAAAACACGUUUCAUAGAGUACAGUUUCUAAAGUUAACUAUUGCUUAUUUUAUUUAGGAAAGCUCUUUAUUUAAAUCUUAAAAAGAUCAUGUGAAAUCUGCGAAAGGUUCUCAUACUCAGUGACUUAACAUUAUUCAUAUUUCUACCACAGCUGCAUAUGAGGUAAAGGAAAAAAAAUUAAGUUAAAAUAGGUAACCACAUAACCAUACAAUAAAAAUUUUUUUCAAAUAAGAUUAAUUAAUAAAUUGCUGCACUUUUAAAGUUGUACACAUUAAAAUGGGUCAAAUACUGUUGUUUUAGAUUGCAACUAUGGAUCGCUGUAUCAAGGGUACAGUGUUAAAACUCCAGCAUUAAACAAGAAGUCUCAUUGAGACUCAGUAUCUGAGGAAAUCCAUGUUGCUGGUACCCACUGAGGCUCCUCCUGAGCCUUCUGUAUGGCAGACAACAACUGGGCACAUGCAUCGUGCAAGCUGUCAUUCACAAUCACAUGAUCAAAAAAUUGGCCAAACUGAGUUUCCAUUCUUUGGGCUAAAUUUUCCAUCUCUUGUAGGUCUUCAUCCUUUAGGAGAAAUAGAAAAAUAUGGAUAGUACAGACUUAAUUGGACAAAUGGAAAAAAUACAGUUUGUUAUGCUGUCACAUUCAGUUGUGAAACUAUGUAUAAAAACAGUAAGGUCCGAAAAUUUUGCACAGAUGAUUUUCAAUAAAGUUUCAAAAAUAUUUUUUCAAAAUUCUACAAAACCAGCAAACUAGAAAAUAGUAAUUUUUUUGCCCUCUGUUAUUGAAAUAAUGUGGCUAAGUAUAGAUAAAAUAAUUUUUUUUUUUUUUAGACAGGGUCCCACUCUGUCCCAGGCUGGCAUGCAGUAGGAUCAUCUCAGCUCACUGCAGCCUCUGCCUCCCAGGCUCAAGUGAUCCUCCCACCUAGGCCUCCCAAGUAGCUGGGACUAUAGGCACAUGCCAUCAUGCCCAGCUAAUUUUUGUAGAGAAAAUAUAAUUAUUAUAACAGGUAUAAACAUAUCCUUCUAAAUUAAUGUGAAGCAUAAGCAAAGCUGGGAAAAGUAUAUCACUAUCCACAGUAUGUCAUCCUUUAUUUCUUAGAAAUGUAUUACUGAGAUAAAGAAAUUUUAAUUUGGAAGUUUUUUUAAAU
rnacentral:lncRNA from 1 species